rnacentral:rRNA from 1 species
CGAGGUCAUUGCUAUCGGGGUCCGAUUUAGCCAUGCUAGUCGCACGGGUUUAGACCCGUGGCGAAUAGCUCCGUAACACGUGGCCAAACUACCCUAUGGAGAGUGAUAACCUCGGGAAACUGAGGCUAAUAACUCAUACCGCUCCCGAGCUGGAAUGCUGGGAGCUUCAAACGCUCCGGCGCCAUAGGAUGUGGCUGCGGCCGAUUAGGUAGACGGUGGGGUAACGGCCCACCGUGCCGAUAAUCGGUACGGGUUGUGAGAGCAAGAACCCGGAGACGGAAUCUGAGACAAGAUUCCGGGCCCUACGGGGCGCAGCAGGCGCGAAACCUUUACACUGCACGGGAGUGCGAUAAGGGGACCCCGAGUGCGAGGGCAUACAGUCCUCGCUUUUCUGUACCGUAAGGUGGUACAGGAAUAAGGGCUGGGCAAGACCGGUGCCAGCCGCCGCGGUAAUACCGGCAGCUCGAGUGAUGACCGAUAUUAUUGGGCCUAAAGCGUCCGUAGCCGGCCACGUAGGUCCGUCGGGAAAUCCACUCGCUUAACGAGUGGGCGUCCGGCGGAAACCACGUGGCUUGGGGCCGGAAGACCUGAGGGGUACGUCUGGGGUAGGAGUGAAAUCCCGUAAUCCUGAACGGACCGCCGGUGGCGAAAGCGCCUCAGGAAGACGGACCCGACGGUGAGGGACGAAAGCUAGGGUCUCGAACCGGAUUAGAUACCCGGGUAGUCCUAGCCGUAAACGAUGCUCACUAGGUGUGGCGCUGGCUACGAGCCAGCGCUGUGCCGUAGGGAAGCCGUGAAGUGAGCCGCCUGGGAAGUACGUCCGCAAGGAUGAAACUAAAGGAAU